AGGGUGUAAACGCUGCGGACUUGGUGUUGGGGGCCCUUUGGGGGCAUUCAGUGCCGGAGAGAAGUUGUUAAGUCUGCUACUUGGGGAGUACGUCCGCAAGGAUGAAACUUAAAGGAAUUGGCGGGGGAGCACCGCAACGGGAGGAGCGUGCGGUUUAAUUGGAUUCAACACCGUAAAACUCACCAGGGAAGACUGUUACAUGAAGGCCGAGAUGAAGACUCUGCUAGAUUUUCAGAGAGGAGGUGCAUGGCGUCAGUGACU
rnacentral:rRNA from 1 species